AUUGAACGCUGGCGGCAGGCCUAACACAUGCAAGUCGAGCGAUCGGCGGACGGGUGCGUAAUGUAUGGGGACUGCCCGAUCGAGGGGGAUAACUCCUGGAAACGGUAGCUAAUACCGCAUCUGAUCGGAUAACCCAUAUGGGAUUAGCUAGUAGUUGAGGGAAUGGCUCACCUAGGCGACGAUCCCUAGCUGGUCUGAGAGGAUGAGCAGCCACACUGGGACUGAGACACGGCCCAGACUCCUACGGAGGCAGCAGUGGGGAAUAGUGCACAAUGGGCGCAAGCCUGAUGCAGCAAUGACGCGUGUAUGAAGAAGGCUCUAGGGUUGUAAAGUACUUUCAGGCGGGAGGCGUUACCGACAGAAGAAGAACCGGCUAACUCCGUGCCAGCAGCCGCGGUAAUAC
rnacentral:rRNA from 1 species